UGGGGCCUGUGAUGACUAAAACAUUUGCCUACAUUGUCUGAUUUCUUUUCCUGAAAGACAAUUUUCAACAUUCUGAGGCCUCA
rnacentral:snoRNA from 1 species